GGGGACGUAGCUCAGUUGGGAGAGCGACGCGUUCGCAACGCGUAGGUCGGCGGUUCGAUCCCGCUCGUCUCCACCA
rnacentral:tRNA from 1 species